rnacentral:rRNA from 1 species
CACGUAGGGUGCGAGCGUUGUCCGGAAUUACUGGGCGUAAAGCGCGUGUAGGCGGCUAAGCAAGUCGGGCGUGAAAUCCCACCGCUCAACGGUGGAAGUGCACCCGAAACUGCAUAGCUAGAGUCCUGGAGAGGAAGGUGGAAUGCUUGGUGUAGAGGUGAAAUUCGUAGAUAUCGGAAGGAACAUCAGUGGCGAAAGCGGCUUCCUGGACCA